rnacentral:rRNA from 1 species
GACGAACGCUGGCGGCGUGCUUAACACAUGCAAGUCGAACGGAAAGGCCCUGCUUUUGUGGGGUGCUCGAGUGGCGAACGGGUGAGUAACACGUGAGUAACCUGCCCUUGACUUUGGGAUAACUUCAGGAAACUGGGGCUAAUACCGGAUAGGAGCUCCUGCUGCAUGGUGGGGGUUGGAAAGUUUCGGCGGUUGGGGAUGGACUCGCGGCUUAUCAGCUUGUUGGUGGGGUAGUGGCUUACCAAGGCUUUGACGGGUAGCCGGCCUGAGAGGGUGACCGGCCACAAUGGGGCUAAGAUACGGACCAGACUCCAACGGGAGGCAGCAGUGGGGAAUAUUGCACAAUGGGCGGAAGCCUGAUGCAGCAACGCCGCGUGCGGGAUGACGGCCUUCGGGUUGUAAACCGCUUUCGCCUGUGACGAAGCGUGAGUGACGGUAAUGGGUAAAGAAGCACCGGCUAACUACGUG